rnacentral:lncRNA from 10 species
CUUUGCUGUUGGUGGGGGCAGGGAGCAUGGUACAGGGGUGACUGAGUUCCUGCUUUGUUAGUUCCCACUGAAACUGAUUGACAAAAAGGGCCUGGCACCUCUCUCUUCUCUCUCUUUCUCUCUCUCACCAUGUGAUCUAUGCAUGCCUGUUCCCGUCUGCUUGCACUAAGAAUGGAAACAGCCUAAGUUCCUCACCAGAAGCAGAGGCUGGCACCAUGUUUGUUAUGCAGCCUGCAGAACCGUGAGUCAAAUAAAUUUCUUUUCUGUAUAAUUUGUCCAGCCUCAGGUAUUCCUUUAGAGCAACAUAAACAAAGACAAUACUUAACAUACUGUAUAGUAUUACAAUUAGAUGGUCAAAAUAUGUGUACUCCCGGCAGCUAUGUUCUUGGCUGCCUGAGAGAUUGGGAGUGUUAGGAUGAUUUACUAAGUAAGACAGGGACUGUAAAUGGAUAUUGUUAUUUGGAUGAGAAUCCAAGGAGCUACCUAAUAUUUUAAGGUUAAAUAAAUCAGAGCAACAUGUAGUUUUCUUAAUUGAUUUAUGUGAAUUUCUAUAUGCAGCUUCUAUAAUUUAUGUGCAUUUGUAUUUGCUUUAUUUAUGUAUACAGCCAUAGCUUUGAAGAACCAGAAGAAAAAUGCCACAUUUUCUUUGCUAAAGGGUUGGGAAAGAUUGAUUUAAGAGUAGAAUUAAAUUUGAAGCACUUUGUACUUUCUGAUUUAGUGGUGGCUUUGAGGAUGAUGAUGUUUGGACUUUCUGCUUCCACCUCCUACUUAGAAAAUCUAGUAUCUGAACGAAACUACAAAAAAAAAAAUAAUUAAGGGGUUUGUUUUUGAGAACUGGAGUUGGCAAAUGUACCAAUGUGUUUAUGGUAGCAAAUGAAACAUUCAAAAGGAAAAUGGAAUUCCCUUUAAAAUUAACUUAAUUAGAUCAGGACAAGAAAAAAAGCAUGAGGAAUUUAUGGUUGGCUUUGUCAUUAUAUAUUUGCAAAACACUAUAAAUAAAUACAUUUAGAUUGCAAAGUCUGUAAGUUUUCUCUGGGUGCUUUAUUUGGUCAUGUUUACUUCGUUGAUGAAGCUAGGAAAAUUAGAAAUGCAGUAUUUUUGUGAUCUCAUAAAGAAACUUUCUCCUCUCAUUUCUUCAUUUACUACACUGGAUAGGCUUACGGCAGCUUAUCAGCCAAAUAUAUUGCAGGAAGUGCAGGGCCUCUUUCUUAACGAUACAUCAAAUAAUGCCUGUGCCCUUCACGGCCUGGAGUCUGAAAAUGUCAGAGCUUUCUAUUCAUGAGAGAUUGGUUGAAGACUUUUUCAGACUCCUAAUUACAAAUAUGGUGAACUUGUUGCCAUAGUUUUUCUUCAGAUGCAUCGCAAGCAGUCGGUGUGCCACUGCUGUAUUAUUUGAGGUCAUGGAUCACUGAGAAAUUAACUAAAUAGGAAAAUUGCCAUUUUUCCAACAAACUUACUUAGGUAAAAGUUAUUUUAAGUUUCAUGGUCUGAUGCAACAAGCUGUUUGCUUAAGACAUUGUUUCCUCUUAGAAUAAGCUUGAAGAACUUUUUUUUUAAUGAAAUGGGUCAGGCAAUGACCACAGGUUUUUGACAGAUCAUAAUUUUACAUGAUUCAUGUUGGAAGUAAAA